AUGGAAGGCCCAGCUCAGCUUCUCUGCCUGCUAGUGUUCUGGCUCCCAGAUACCAUGGGAGACAUUGUGAUGACUCAGUCCCCAGCUUCCCUCUCUCUGUCUCCUGGUGAAAGAGUCUCCCUCACCUGCAGGUCCAGUCAGAGUGUUCGCAGCUACUUAUCCUGGUAUCAGCAGAAACCUGGGCAGGCUCCCAGGCUCCUCAUCUAUGCUGUAUCCAGCAGGGCCCACGGCAUCUCCGACCGGUUCAGUGGGAGUGGGUCUGAGACAGACUUUACUCUCACCAUCAGCAGUAUGAAAGCUGAUGAUGUUGGUACUUAUUACUGUAAACAUUCAACUGACUUCCCUCCCACAGUGUCACAUGCUUGA